CACGUAGAAGACAAGUGUUAUUCAUCUUUAUUUGGUAUAUAGGGUACCUAGACGGAUUACCAAGCCUAAACCAGGGACUAGUUUUCUAGAGUUUUAUGUGGGAAUACACGAAUUACCAAAGGAGGAAUAAAAUACGAUUAUACUGGUAGGACGGGUCACGGCGAAGGCUUGAUUCUAAGUAAAAACUGACGUUGAGGGACGAAGCCUGGGGGAGCGAUAAGG
rnacentral:rRNA from 1 species